CUCGGGAAAGAACCUCGCAGAGACAGAAUUCAGCGAAUUCAAACUCUACACGUCACCAAUCAUAGAUUUCACCCGGCUGACUUGCCCUCUACCAAAAAGCGAGAACUUCAAGUUUCGAUCGUAUCCGCCGCGGAAAGGUAAAGAAACUCCAUCCUUGCUCGGUCGACUCCGGCAGCUGAUCUACGUCACGUUCUACGUGAUGGUAGCCAUCGGAGGCGGCUACUUCUACGCGCGGUGGUUCCGCUAUCGAUGGUCCUUCUUGUCUCUCGACGUCGCCGUCACCGUCAUCUUCCAGCUCAUCUGGGUCUUUUGCUUGCCCAAGCUCUUCAAGAUUAUCGAGGCCAUCUUCGAGUUCGACGCCAAAAUCGUCGGCGCCGUCGGCUCCAAGGCCUUGACGAUCGAGCCUGCACAGCGGCUCCAGUACAAACGUCUCAAAUCGAACUUUUUCAGGCUCCUGCUUUUUCUGAUGUGCCUCAAGGUGGUGGCUGUGGCUCUGUUCGUGGCGGCACGGAUGCCCCUGCUGUCGGCCGUGGUGGCUACAAUAUGCAGAAGCGUCGACUCUUUGCCUCUAUUCGUGACGCUGUGCCUCUACGUUUACUUCAGCGAGAACAUUCGGAUUCGGUUCGAUGUGAUGGUUCAACUCUGGAGAUGCUGGACAGGACGGAGGCCCAGAUCGACCUGUACAGACUCCUCUACACGCAGCUGUUCCACGCGGUGCACGUCUUCAACGACUGCUUCUCCUUCCCGCUCAUUGCCCUCUUCGGCACGGCCGCCUAUUCCCUCUUCGUCGAGUUCUUCCUCUUGUUCCAGUACUAUUCCUUCUUCACCCAGGUCACUUUCUUCCUCAUCGAUAUUGCCAUCAUUCAUCUACUCACAUCUUAUACAAAAGAUUUGGUCUUCUCGAGUGAGAAAAUACUUCGAAGACUACACAGAGUGACAAUCAACUGGUUCGAUGAAAGAAAAAUAUCCCAGAUUAGGAUGUUCAUGUGGGAACUGCAUGCUAAGAGAGCAGAAAUUACAGCAUUUGGCCUUUUCACAAUUGACAGUGAUCUUGUGACGUCGAUUAUGCUAGCAACAGCAUCUUACUUAGUCAUGAUGUUCCAGCUAAUGCCACAGCUCACUGAGGAUGCUCAAAAUUAA
rnacentral:lncRNA from 1 species